GUGCCCAUAGCUCAGUUGGUUAGAGCGCCGCUCUGUGAAAGCGGAGGUCGCGGGUUCGAGUCUCGUUGGGCACCC
rnacentral:tRNA from 15 species